rnacentral:rRNA from 1 species
CAUGUCUUUUUGAUUAUAGUGAAAAGUUUAACCUGCCCUAUGAGUUAUUAAAUGGCCGCGGUAUAUUGACCGUGCAAAGGUAGCAUAAUAAUUAGUUUUUUAAUUGAAAGCUGGUAUGAAUGGUUGGACGAGAAAAUUACUGUCUUAAUUUAAUUUGAAUAGAAUUUAACUUUUAAGUAAAAAGGCUUAAAUUUUUUUAAAAGACGAGAAGACCCUAUAGAGUUUUAUUUAAUAAUGAAAUAUAAUUUUUAUAGAAUAAAUUUAUUUUAUUUUUUUGUUAAAUUUUAUUGGGGUGAUGUAAAGAUUUAAUUAACUCUUUAUUAGAUUUAACAUUGAUUGAUGAUUAAUUGAUCCAAUUUUUUUGGUUAAAAGAAUAAAUUACCUUAGGGAUAACAGCGUUAUUUUUUCAGAGAGUUCUUAUCGAAGAAAAAGAUUGCGACCUCGAUGUUGGAUUAAAAUUAAUUGUUGGCGCAAAAGCUUUUAAAUUAAGUCUGUUCGACUUUUAAAAUUUUACAUGAUCUGAGU